rnacentral:lncRNA from 13 species
UAUAGAGAUGUGUAGUAGUCUAGGUCUAUCUGGUACUAUAGAGAUGUGUAGUAGUCUAGGUCUAUCUGGUACUAUAGAGAUGUGUAGUAGUCUAUCUGGUACUAUAGAGAUGUGUAGUAGUCUAUCUGGUACUAUAGAGAUGUGUAGUAGUCUAGGUCUAUCUGGUACUAUAGAGAUGUGUAGUAGUCUAGGUCUAUCUGGUACUAUAGAGAUGUGUAGUAGUCUAGGUCUAUCUGGUACUAUAGAGAUGUGUAGUAGUCUAGGCCUAUCUGGUACUAUAGAGAUGUGUAGUAGUCUAGGCCUAUCUGGUACUAUAGAGAUGUGUAGUAGUCUAGGCCUAUCUGGUACUAUAGAGAUGUGUAGUAGUCUAGGUCUGAUCUGUGGUAGCAGCGUGCAGAUAGAGCAGGUGACAGUCAAGGAGCCUCGCUGGCUGUUUGUCUUGUGAUGGUUGAAUGGUCUUCAUGAGUGGUUUAAUAGACCAGGUCAUAUUCAUAUCCACUGAGUGGUUUAAUAGACCAGGUCAUAUCCACUGAGUGGUUUAAUAGACCAGGUCAUAUCCACUGAGUGGUUUAAUAGACCAGGUCAUAUUCAUAUUCACUGAGGGGUUUAAUAGACCAGGUCAUAUUCACUGAGUGGUUUAAUAGACCAGGUCAUAUCCACUGAGUGGUUUAAUAGACCAGGUCAUAUCCACUGAGUGGUUUAAUAGACCAGGUCAUAUUCAUAUCCACUGAGUGGUUUAAUAGACCAGGUCAUAUUCACUAAGGGGUUUAAUAGACCAGGUCAUAUUCACUGAGUGGUUUAAUAGACC